GGAAUAUUGGACAAUGGGGGAAACCCUGAUCCAGCAAUGCCGCGUGAGUGAUGAAGGCCUUAGGGUUGUAAAGCUCUUUCGGCGGGGAAGAUGAUGACGGUACCCGCAGAAGAAGCCCCGGCUAACUUCGUGCCAGCAGCCGCGGUAAUACGGAGGGGGCUAGCGUUGUUCGGAAUUACUGGGCGUAAAGCGCACGUAGGCGGCUUUGUAAGUUAGAGGUGAAAGCCCGGAGCUCAACUCCGGAACUGCCUUUAAGACUGCAUCGCUUGAACGUCGGAGAGGUAAGUGGAAUUCCGAGUGUAGAGGUGAAAUUCGUAGAUAUUCGGAAGAACACCAGUGGCGAAGGCGACUUACUGGACGACUGUUGACGCUGAGGUGCGAAAGCGUGGGGAGCAAA
rnacentral:rRNA from 1 species